rnacentral:lncRNA from 1 species
UCGUCAUUUGCAUUAUAAACCCAAAGUGGACAAGUACAAAGGAUGGAUACAAGCCCAACAGAAACAAACUAAGCCCAAAUACAAAUUAUGAAACGUGUUACAACAAAGGGCGAAAAAGAACACAUGUUAAUACACAUGGAAGCAUGCAUGUUGGUUGGAAAUCUCAAUCGCCGCGUCACCGCAAGUUUCACCGAAGUCGGACUAUCCUUUUUCCUCCGCAAAAAGUAGCCGAUUGAUUCCAGAUUUCUACACCACACAACCUUCUGCGUAGAUUACAAGUGUUUAGAGCAGAUACCCACCAGCCGUCUGAUUAUUGAAGCACGAGAAGUCGCAGUAAGUCCACAGAACAGAGCAGUCACAAACACGCUCUUCUGUUCUGAUAUGAACAAUCCAACGAGCUUUACAGAUCACGAUUCUUUUGCACACAAAGAACCUUCAUCCAAAGCCAACUCUUACGGCCUCGAUAGGGGUAUGAAGGAUUGUACCAGGAAUCAAGCACAUCGAUGGAAGAAGAGUCUCCGAGUAACACCCGGCUUUUGUCUCCUCCAACUGAGGAAGAUCUAUGAACCGCAAAAAGAUUAAAAAAAAACUAAAAAAUUAAUAAAAUAAAAACCUAAAUAUGAAUACAGUCGGGAAUUUUAUUAUCCGGGUAACGCCAAAAGACCAAAGAAAAGAAACCAAAUAUGUUGGAGAGAAAUUCGAACAUAAUCGGAGAUAAUUAUAAGAGAAGAUAAGAGUUUUUCUUUAGUUUAAAAUAUCUGAUAGAGAGAAAGCUCUCUAAAAAGUAUACCAAAAUAAUAUAUUUUUUAUAAAAAGAUAAUAUAUGUUUAUUCAUAAAUUAAGUUUUUUUAACAAAGAGCUUUCAUCAAAUAUACCAGUACAAGAACAUAAAACAGAUAUUGGGUUACCACUCGUGCUUUUGUUUUUGACCAAUUUUUUUUUUUUUUUUGGUAUGAGACAAACGUAAAUGAGUUGGCAUGCAUAUAUUUUAUUAAAUAUAUACUUAUCUGCACUGUCUAUUUUUCUAUAUUAUUUUUAAGGGACAGAUUGUCCCCAACAUUCAUUUUCUCUGUUUAUAUUAAUUCUUUAGUGUCUUAAAGAAAACAUUACAACGAGGGGGUAUAGAGUAUGUCCCCAUUUUCAUGACAAAAAUGAAUGAAAAAUAACUUGUAGAGAAAUGUGCAUUUGAUUGUGAAUUAUACGUAAAAAAUAAUGAGCAUCUGAGUGUUAAUAUCUUUACACUAAUAUAUAAAUAUGUAUACAAUAAAUUAUAGAUAUAUCGGUUGACAAAGAAUAUAGAUUUAAUUAACUAUACAUAUAUACCAUCAAAAUAGUAGUAUAUAUAUAUAUAUAUAAUUACUUGGUUAGUAUUUGCGGGAUGCCGGGAUCAAAGAUCUAAUUAAAUAAAAUUAGAAACAUUCCAUUACGGAGAAGCAAAAACUCACAUGGGUAGUUGAAAUUUUUAAGAACGACUCAAUAUUUUAUUUGUUUCAUUCUUUUAAUGUGUCUUUAUCGUCGACUGAUUAAUUUAACUUAACCCUUGGUACAAAAAAUAUAAAAAAAGAUAAAUAAAUUGGACUUUUAUCAAUCUCACCUGUGUCCUGCAAUUAUGCCUUAAAAUCUUGGUUUACAAAACCUUCCAUGAUUUCUUUUUUCUUUCUUUCUUUUUUUUUUCCGGGUAAACUUUUCUUUUAAUAAAAC